rnacentral:rRNA from 1 species
AUUGAACGCUGGCGGCAGGCCUAACACAUGCAAGUCGAGCGGGGUUUUCGGACCUAGCGGCGGACGGGUGAGUAAUGCGUAGGAAGCUACCCGACAGAGGGGGAUACCAGUUGGAAACGACUGUUAAUACCGCAUAAUGUCUACGGACCAAAGUGUGGGACCUUCGGGCCACAUGCUGUCGGAUGCGCCUACGUGGGAUUAGCUAGUUGGUGAGGUAAUGGCUCACCAAGGCGACGAUCCCUAGCUGGUUUGAGAGGAUGAUCAGCCACACUGGAACUGAGAAACGGUCCGGACUCCUCCGGGAGGCAGCAGUGGGGAAUAUUGGACAAUGGGCGCAAGCCUGAUCCAGCCAUGCCGCGUGUGUGAAGAAGGCCUUCGGGUUGUAAAGCACUUUCAGCGAGGAGGAAGGGUUGUGUGUUAAUAGCACAUAGCUUUGACGUUACUCGCAGAAGAAGCACCGGCUAACUCUGUGCCAGCAGCCGCGGUAAGAC